UGCCAUGACGAAAUACCACAGGCCGGAUGGU
rnacentral:piRNA from 1 species